CCUGGUUUCGCAAAAAAACAUGAUGAUCAUAAAACUUGCGUAAAGUCGAGGUUUGGUCGGUUUUUUAAAGCAUUAUCUCCAAAACUCAAAAUAUUGAUCAUGCCCAACAUAUUAGACGUAUGGAAGUUGUAUAAGCCAGUUUUCGCAAAAAAAGAAACGGUUAUAAAGUUUGUGCAAAGUCGAGGUUCGAACAGUUUUUGUGCACCAUCUUGAAAAUUCAACAUAAUAACCAUUCCCAACAUAUUAGCCCAAAGGAAGUAUGUUGUAUAAGUUUGGUUUCAGAAACAAACUUAUAGUCAUAAAUUUUGCAUAAAGUCGAAGUUGGAUUGGUUUUGUACGCACCGUCUCGAAAAUUCAAAAAAUUGAUCAUUCCAAACAUAUUUGUCCAUGAGAUGUUGUACGAGCAUAGUUUUUGAAAAAAAACAUAAUAGUUAAAAGUUUUUGUAAUGUCGAGGUUUGAUCGAUUUUUCGCGCACCAACUCAAAAAUUAAAAAAAUUCAUCACUCCCAACAUAUUUACUCUAGGGUAGUCAAUAUAAGCAUAGUUUCAGAAAAAGACGUGACAGUCAUAAACUUUGUGAAAAAUCGAAGUUCAAUUGGUGUUUUGCGCACAAUCUCGAAAGUUCAAAAUAUUGACUAUUCCCAACAUACUAGCUCCAUGGAAGUUGUUUAAGCUUAGUUUUUCAAAAAAUUAUGGCGGUUAUAAAGUUUACACAAUGUCGAGGUUCGAUCAAUUUUUUGUGCACCAUCUCAAAUAUUCGAAAUAUUGACCAUUCCAAACAUAUUAGAUCUAGAGAAGUUGUUUAAGCUGGGUUUUGCCAAAAGAUGUGAUGGUCAUCAAGUUUGCAAAGAGUUAAGGUUCGAUCGGUUUUUUGUGUUCCCUCUCAAAAAUUUAAAAUAUUGACAAUUCCCAAUAAAUUUGCCUUCGAGAAGUCGUAUAUGCUGGGCUUCGUUAAAAAACGUGGCAGUCAUAAAUUUUGCAAAAUGUCAAGGUUUGAUAGGUUCUUUUUGGACCAUCUCAAAAAUUUAAAAAAUUGAUGAUUCCCAAAAUAUUUACCCUAGUGAAGUCUUAUGAGAAUGGUUUCACAGAAAAAUUUAACGGUCAUAAAGAUUGCACAAAGUCGAGAUUCAAUCGGUUUUGUAUGCACUGUCUCGAAAUUUUAUUUACCAUUCCUAACAUAUUAUCCCAAGAAAAUUGGGGCAUAUUGUUGACAAUUCCCAACAUACUAGCCCACGAAAAUUUGUACAUGCCGAGUAGGUAGCCCUAGGGAAAAGCAACUGUCGCCCCUGCCCUAAAUCACCAUCACACACGCCAUUAAAGGCACGGAAGUGUGUGUUGCCCGCGAGGUGCCCUUGCCCUCUGUCUCUUCUCGCCUCCUAUCGCAAGGGUCGCCUCCCUACCUCUUCUCUGGUUGAGAACUAUCAAUCAUUGGGAUUUUAGCCCUAGGGAAAUUGUAUAUGCCUGGAUUCUGGAAUAAAAUAUGAUGGUCAUAAAUCUUCUGUAAAGUCGAAGUUCGAUUGGUUUUUUAUGCACUAUCUCGAAAAUUUAAAAUAUUUAUCAUUCCCAACACUUUUGCAAAAGGGAAGUUGUAUAAGCUUAGGUUAAAAAAAAAAAUGAUAAUCAUUAAGAUUGCCCAAAGCCGAGAUUCGAUUGUUUUUUGUUCACCCUCUCAAAAAUUUACAACAUUGAUAAUUUCCCAAAUAUUAGCUUUCGAAAAAUUGUAUAAGUUUAGUUUCGUACGAAAACAUGGCCGUCAUAAAGUUUGUGCAACGUCGGGGUUUGAUCAGUUGUUUGCGCAUUUUUGAAAAUUCAAAAAAUUGAUCAUUAUCAACUUAUUUGCUCGGGCGAAGUCGUUUGUGCAUGGUUUCACAAAAUAUUAUUUCAGUCAUAAUAUUUGCACAAAGUCUAGGUUAAAUCGGUUUUCUACGCACCAUCUCAAACAUUCAAAAUUUUGACCAUUCCCUACAUUUUAGCAUUAUAAAAGUUGUGUAAGCCUGGUUUCGCAAAAAAACAUGAUGAUCAUAAAACUUGCGUAAAGUCGAGGUUUGGUCGGUUUUUUAGAGCAUUAUCUCCAAAAUUCAAAACAUUGAUCAUGCCCAACAUAUUAGACCUAUGGAAGUUGUAUAAGCCAGUUUUCGCAAAAAAAGAAACGGUCAUAAAGUUUGUGCAAAGUCGAGGUUCGAACAGUUUUUGUGCAC
rnacentral:lncRNA from 1 species